GGGGACGUAGCUCAGUCGGGAGAGCGGCUGGUUCGCAAUCAGCAGGUCGUGGGUUCGAGUCCCAUCGUCUCCA
rnacentral:tRNA from 1 species